rnacentral:rRNA from 1 species
CAGUCGCCGCGGGAAUACAGAGGGUGCGAGCGUUAAUCGGAUUUACUGGGCGUAAAGCGUGCGUAGGCGGCUUCUUAAGUCGGAUGUGAAAUCCCUGAGCUUAACUUAGGAAUUGCAUUCGAUACUGGGAAGCUAGAGUAUGGGAGAGGAUGGUAGAAUUCCAGGUGUAGCGGUGAAAUGCGUAGAGAUCGGGAGGAACAUCAGUGGCGAAGGCGGCCAUCUGGGACAACACUGACGCUGAGGCACGAAAGCGUGGGGAGCAAACAGGAUUAGAUACCCGCGUAGUCCCUGUCUCUUAUAA